CCCAACUAAUAAUCUAAGAGCCCUCUCGUCGUACAUCCUCUUCGACCUACUCCCCUGUUCCUUCCUUCGUUCGUACCAUCGCCCACCGAUGGGAGCUCCCCUUGCGUUCCGCUGCCGCCCCGAGACGUCGCCUUCCCUUUCGAUCUCCGCCCAGCACGUGCCCGGCCGUACCAUCUAAGCUACGCCCAGUACAAGCUAUGCCCAGAUUAUAAUCGCCUCUCAUCCCCCACCCCAUCGAACCCAACUCCAUAGCCGCCGCAUCACAUUGCCCCCAUGUAUCAGAUCCAGCAUCUAGGAACCUCCAUCGGCCGGCUCUUCGACUCUUCAGGUUGGCUUUCUCGUCCUGUACUCCCACUCUACGGUCAUAGAGGGGACACCAAUGCACACGAAUCUGAAGUAUUUUCCCUUCCACGGGAAGAAUUCAGUGAUACUGUAGCUCGCCAGUCGACGGUUUCAUGCGUCCGGUGACCUCUCUCUCUCCAUGCAUCUUCUAUACAAUCCUCAUGAGUAUUAUCUCAUUGGAUCGUGUAUCUGCCAUCUUAUCAUUUCAUAGCUACAUCUCACAGUUUGAACUUGUUACGUGGUAUAUGCACCAGAAAUAUUUGCAGUCACGGCCAAACUAACCUCUCUGAGUUUCCGAACUGCAUCUGCAUGCACAACUCUGCCAGCGCAAGUCUUCUUAUCUGCUGCACUUGAACAGGUUUUGAAACCUAUAGUGUAUCUUGGGUUAUCAAAACUGAACCUGCCAACUUAUGUGCACUGGAUAUUGGAUGAUCAUUGAGGAAUCAGCAAGUCGAGUGUGGAUGUAAAAGAUAUUGUGUAUCGGCUUAUCUACAUUAAAGAACUAAAAAGACACAAAUGAGAGUGAAGGAAGCGCCUCAGGGGGUGAGGAUGUUGCGACUGGCGAGAGUAUUGGAGGAAAGGUACAGCUUGCCUCCCACAUUCAAACCUCCAGAGGCUGCAUCCACCAAGAAAGUUAAAAGAAUUUUAAUAUAAGCACUUCUCCCAGGCUCCCAAGGUUGCACUUCAGUACUGUGAUGUGCCGUCGAGAGGGGCAAUGGCGAGAGGAUUUGGUCAAAGAGAGAGAAAAGAGAAUGAUAUAGAUGGUGAGAUUGAAUGCAGCUUCCAGUGACGUUGAGAUUAAAAGUCACCGCUGGACUUUGGCGACAUCUUGUCAUCCAAAGCCAAUCCAACGGACAGGAGUUGAGCAAUCAAAAAUUCCCACACCCUUAGUCGUUUCCAGCCUGAAAUUGUAUUUAAUCACAAACCUUGAAUUCACUGAAACUUCCCAAGAAUGCAUAAUGCAAAUUAUAUGAUUUGCUGAAUUUAUUUCAAAAUUUUAUGUGAA